UACGGAGGGAGCUAGCGUUGUUCGGAAUUACUGGGCGUAAAACGCACGUAGGCGGAUCGGAAAGUCAGAGGUGAAAUCCCAGGGCUCAACCUUGGAACUGCCUUUGAAACUCCUGGUCUUGAGGUCGUAAGAGGUGAGUGGAAUUCCGAAUGUAAAAAUGAAAUUCGUAGAUAUUCGGAGGAACACCAGUGGCGAAGGCGGCUCACUGGCACGAUACUAACGCUAAGGUGCGAAAGCGUGGGAAGCAAACAGG
rnacentral:rRNA from 1 species